rnacentral:lncRNA from 1 species
UAUUUCUUUAAAACAAAGUGAGGGGAGUCUCUCAUUUACAUUAGUUUUUUUCAUAGCCUUUUGAACUUUGCAAUUUCUAUGUUUCAGAACCUAUUUCUUACAGUUCUUCUAUGCUAAACUCUGUCCUAGUCAGUUCUAGAGUGUAUGAAGAACCAAAUGAUGUAAUUGUAUGCGACCUGGCUGUAGUGGAACAAAUUUGACUCUAAAGUAUGCAGGCUCUAAUUUUCCUGUCUGGUUUUGGUAAGUAUUCCUUACAUAGGUUUUUUCUUUGAAAAUCUGGGAUUGAGAGGUUGAUGAAUGAAAAUUAAUCCUUUCACUUUUUUGUAUAUAGGUUUGCAAUAAUCAGGUCAGAGUGGAGUUUUAAGGUCAUGGAGGGGUCUGAUGACUUACAAAUAAUGGGCUCUGAUUGGGCAACUACUCAUCUGAGUUCCUUCCAUUUGACCUAAUUAAGCUUGUGAAAUUUACACUAAGCCAUGAGCUCAUCUUUAAAAAGUUUUAUUAAAAGAUUUUCAGCUGUUCCAAAUGGGACUUGUUAGUGGAAUGUGUUUUAAAGGAUCAUAUCAGAUGAAUGAAAGGUAUUUGGUCCUUCGUUUCCUUAAUAAUAAAAUGAUGGUUUGGAAAAAUAGGCUACAGUCUAACCACAGUGCUAUUAUUAGGCUUUCUUGUUAAACACAGGUCUAAGCCUAAGUAUGUCAAUACAACAAAUACUUACUGUUUCAUUUCUAGUAAUGAAAAAAAAAACAAGUCUUUCUG